rnacentral:rRNA from 1 species
AGAGUUUGAUCCUGGCUCAGAUUGAACGCUGGCGGCAGGCCUAACACAUGCAAGUCGAGCGGUAACACAGAGAGCUUGCUCUCGGGUGACGAGCGGCGGACGGGUGAGUAAUGUCUGGGAAACUGCCUGAUGGAGGGGGAUAACUACUGGAAACGGUAGCUAAUACCGCAUCACGUCGCAAGACCAAAGUGGGGGACCUUCGGGCCUCAUGCCACCAGAUGUGCCCAGAUGGGAUUAGCUAGUAGGUGGGGUAAUGGCUCACCUAGGCGACGAUCCCUAGCUGGUCUGAGAGGAUGACCAGCCACACUGGAACUGAGACACGGUCCAGACUCCUACGGGAGGCAGCAGUGGGGAAUAUUGCACAAUGGGCGCAAGCCUGAUGCAGCCAUGCCGCGUGUAUGAAGAAGGCCUUCGGGUUGUAAAGUACUUUCAGCGAGGAGGAAGGCAUUAAGGUUAAUAACCUUGGUGAUUGACGUUACUCGCAG